AUGCAGAAGCAGGGAAGGCCGGCGAGGGGCUUGGGCGCGAGUACUUGGGGCUCCGGUGAGAUGGGAAGUCCGGCAACGACGGGGAGGGUCGGGACCCGACGGAUCCGAUGCGAAGGAGGUCGAGGAGGGCCGAGGCGAAGCACUGGCGUUCUCCUCUGCUCGAAACAAAGCAAGCAGCGAUUGGCGAAACAAGCUUCAGGCGCCGGGGAGGAGCAGGCGGGGCGCUGGCAGGCACGGGACGUGGCGGUUCGACGUAGUUCACCGGGACGACGGCAGCAGGCGGCGGACUUGACGCGGAGGCUGAAGAUGGCGGGGUUGAGGAGGAGCUGA
rnacentral:rRNA from 1 species